GAUGAACGCUAGCGGCAGGCUUAAUACAUGCAAGUCGAGGGGUCAGCAAUGACACCGGCGGACGGGUGCGUAACGCGUAUGCAACCUACCUACAUCAGGGGGAUAGCCCUAGGAAACUGGGAUUAACACCGCAUAAUAUUAUUAAUGGCAUCAUUGAUAAUUGAAAUAUUUAUAGGAAGUAGAUGGGCAUGCGUAAGAUUAGCUAGUUGGUAAGGUAACGGCUUACCAAGGCUACGAUCUUUAGGGGCUCUGAGAGGAGUAUCCCCCACACUGGCACUGAGAUACGGGCCAGACUCCUACGGGAGGCAGCAGUAGGGAAUAUUGGGCAAUGGAGGCAACUCUGACCCAGCCAUGCCGCGUGCAGGAAGACGGCCCUCUGGGUUGUAAACUGCUUUUGAAUGGGAAGAAUGUGUGGCUUGCGAGCUAUAAUGACGGUACCAUUAGAAUAAGCCACGGCUAACUACGUGCCAGCAGCCGCGGU
rnacentral:rRNA from 1 species